CCAAGGGGAAGUCUUGGGCUUGGGUCUUCAGGGACCCCCCGGGGAAUCCGCGGGGCCUCCUCGACACUUGGGCUUUUAUCUGAAAGAUUGAGAAGUCCCAGCGUGCAGACCUGACUCCAGCGUGUUCAAUCAGAACAGCAAGUGUCCAGAAUGUGGGCUCGGAGAGAGUCCUGACUGCGGUUCCUGAGCAGUAACUUGGAAUGGUGCAGUUGUCUACCUAUGAGCCAGGAUGAAGCCUGAGGAUGUACAAACACAGGUGAGGG